rnacentral:rRNA from 1 species
CCUACGGGUGGCAGCAGUGAGGAAUAUUGGUCAAUGGGCGCUAGCCUGAACCAGCCAAGUAGCGUGAAGGAUGAAUGCCCUAUGGUUCGUAAACCUCUUUUAUAUGGGAAUAAAGUGCGGUACGUAUACUGCUUUGCAUGUACCUUAUGAAUAAGGAUCGGCUAACUCCGUGCCAGCAGCCGCGGUAAUACGGAGGAUUCGAGCGUUAUCCGGAUUUAUUGGGUUUAAAGGGUGCGUAGGCGGGUUUUUAAGUCAGGUGUGAAAGUUUGCGGCUCAACCGUAAAAUUGCAGUUGAUACUGGGAUCCUGGAGUACAGUAGAGGUAGGCGGAAUUCGUGGUGUAGCGGUGAAAUGCAUAGAUAUCACGAAGAACUCCGAUUGCGAAGGCAGCCUGCUGGACUGUAACUGACGCUGAUGCACGAAAGUGUGGGGAUCAAACAGGAUUAGAUACCCUUGUAGUC